AUACGGAGGGUGCAAGCGUUGUUCGGAAUCACUGGGCGUAAAGGGCGCGCAGGCGGUUUGGUAAGUCAGAUGUGAAAGCCCACGGCUCAACCGUGGAAGUGCAUUUGAAACUGCCAGACUUGAGUACCAGAGGGGAAAGUGGAAUUCCCGGUGUAGAGGUGAAAUUCGUAGAUAUCGGGAGGAAUACCGGUGGCGAAGGCGACUUUCUGGCUGGAUACUGACGUUGAGGCGCGAAAGCGUGGGGAGCAAACAGGAUUAGAAACCCUAGUAGUCC
rnacentral:rRNA from 1 species